rnacentral:rRNA from 1 species
UCGGGAAUUUUGGGCAAUGGGCGAAAGCCUGACCCAGCAACGCCGCGUGAGGGAUGAAGUAUUUCGGUAUGUAAACCUCGAAAGAAUGGGAAGAAUAAAUGACGGUACCAUUUAUAAGCCCCGGCUAACUACGUGCCAGCAGCCGCGGUAAUACGUAGGGAGCAAGCGUUGUUCGGAUUUACUGGGCGUAAAGGGCGCGUAGGCGGCGCGGUAAGUCACUUGUGAAAUCUCUGAGCUUAACUCAGAACGGCCAAGUGAUACUGCUGUGCUAGAGUGCGGAAGAGGCAACCGGAAUUCUUGGUGUAGCGGUGAAAUGCGUAGAUAUCAAGAGGAACACCUGAGCCGAAGGCGGGUUGCUGGGCCGACACUGACGCUGAUGCGCGAAAGCCAGGGGAGCAAACG